CGGUUAUUGGACAGAAACUUAUGGACAUGUCAUAAGUCAUUUUCAUAAGCUCUCCCACAACGGUCUCACAAGUGGUUAUGUCAAUUGAAACAAGCCCAAAAUGUAAACCUAGCAGUAGCUUGCAUUAAUAAGCAAUUGCUCAAAUAAGUAAAACUAAGCUGCAAGUGCACUCAACUGUAAUGUAAACCUAGCAAAUACCUUCCAUUAAUUUAACAACUACUUAACUAACUAAGUGUGAAG
rnacentral:lncRNA from 1 species